AUUGAGCAGACUGAAUUUGAGAGGCUACAAGAUGAUAGCUAGUAAAAGAAUCCUGAAGGUGUUGUGUGGCGAUAGGGUUAUUUUGGAGAGAAAGAAGAGGAUAAAAAGAUAUUACUAUCUGCUGAGGAGCCCAGUCGAGGUGGAGCUUUAGAAGCCAUAAGAAGCCAAAGCAAGGUAGAGCUCCAAGUGGAGGUAGAUUGGAUACUAGAC
rnacentral:lncRNA from 1 species